rnacentral:lncRNA from 1 species
CAGGAAAAACUCACAUCACGUUUUCUCUUUCUCCACAACUCAUAAUUUUUCCAUUUUAUUUCGUUUCUGCAGAGGAUCACCACCAUCUUUAACUUAUUGCCGGGACCAUCCAUUGUGCGACCAAUCAAGUGUUUGCCUUAAACUUUGUUAUUUUUCUUAUAUUUGCAUACAAUAUUCUUCUUAUAGGCAAUGCUGGAUUUCUUCGUAUAUCCAGUUCAAAGGUAAUGUCUUUGUAAAUCAAAAUGGAAAACUGCUUCCUCCUUGUUCUCUCGAUAUUGUUGGUUAUAUAUAUUUUAAGAGUGCGUACCCGGUACUGCCUUGUAAUAUAAGAUCGGUCUGAUGCCUAAUACGUUCAAGGUUUUGCUGCGAAAUGCUUUUGAAGAAUACGAUAAUUUUGACCCUCAUCAUAUAUUGGGAUAGAGAGCAUUAUUCAUAUGAUUUGAAAACACCCACUUCAACUGAGAUCUUGCUUCUAACCAUAAAUACCAGGGCUUUCCAAGUUCUUUAUUCGAGGCUUAAACUUUUUGUGUUGAAGGUUCCAAGUCUGAGAAGACCUUACAGAGUCGGACCUAUCUUAAUAUCCACUCUCAUUAAGAACUAAUCAGAACCUUAAUCUAGAUGCCUUUUCCCUAAAACCUUGCACUGUACUUUUCCCACAUCUUAAAGAUUUAUGAUUUAUGAACAAACGCAUUUUGCAAAGGAGUACUAAUUAAUUAUAAUCAUAAUUCUUCAACAAUGGUAUCAAAGUCAUGUUCAAUAAGCAGCUUCGUGUUUCCGUAAAUGAAUAUCGGGAAACAACAAACAGGAAACCGCUAAAUAUUCUGAACAGAAGGCUGUUUCACUCCUCAAUCAACAAGUAUGAACAACACACCUAAGUACAUAAAUAAAUAAUAUAUGAAAGGCUUUCGUACAUCAGUUGGCACAAAGAGGAGAUUUCACUAUACGGCAGGUCAAAAAAAAAAAAAAAAAAAAAAAAAAAGGCAGUCAAAGGCGGUAUUCUCAUAUUUGUCACAACACGUGAGCAAAACAUACACGUACAAAACCUGCUGCACAAGAAAGUGAACGCAGGAAAAAUGUCAGAACACUUCAGCCAUCUUGCUCGCAAGAACGCGGUCCCUUCUUUCAAUGUAUCCAAAUGGGAACCAUCCAGCUUUUCCUUUGCAUUCCCCUUCAGCCCAACCAUUAUUUGUAACCUGUCAAGGUUUGCAGAUCUUAAAUAAUUGUUUUCUACAGGAUAAAUUAAAUACAAGCGAGUUUCGGAAUUCAUUUAUUAUAAUAAAUUUACAAAGUUCAAUUCAAGCAAGUUGUGAACCUUUCGAACCACCACAUAGUCACCGACCGACAAAGUGAGCUCCACAUCAGAUUCAGCCUGAUAUGGAUGCACAACCUGCAACAUGUUAGAAACAAUCUAGUUAAACAGCAGUUGUAGGAUUAUGGCACUAAUAUCAGCCAUAUUGAUACGUAGGAAAAAGAUGGACAAUUAAAAAACUAACCUCUCCUAAAAAGUAACCCAUGGCGUCUGUUGAUCCAUUGUGUGUUUGAGAAGCAUAUAUACCAUUAACUUCUUCAUAUGCUGGAGGUGGUGGCAUAGUGUCCACACUUGGUGUAGGAGCCGUAGGAGCUGCUUCAAUCCGUUGUCUCUCCGAUAACAUCUAUCGAUAGGAACAGACAUAGAUCAAAAUAAAACAGACAGAAAACUACUGGAGUCAGUUGAUUGCAUCAGCUUUAAUAACAGGAAAAUUCAAAAGGACAAGGUACUGCAAUUAGAUACCUCGCCUUCAAGCUGAUCAAGUAUCUGAAGGACUCUCUGAUGAUAAGUACGUUCUGCUUCGACCUUUAUUCAAAAUUAAAAGGACACGACAGUUUCAGAAUGGCUUCCUAAAACAUACAUUGAAAUAAUAUUAUAUUGAAGCUGACAAAAAUAAAUUGGGAAGUUUACGGUACCAUUGCAAUAAGGCGCUGGAGAGUUAGCCUCUGUUGCUGAGAUUCAACAGCAGCCAUUGCUGCAGCAGCUUCCUUUCCCAAUAUUGCCAUGUUCGACUUUAAAUCAUGUAGCUUCACCUCUGCAGCAUCUAAUUUCAAAGCAAGGUCCGGAUUACCUGGGGUUUCCCUCACCUUAGCUUGCCGUUUGGAAACUUCAAUAGCCUGACUAGGUUUAAGAGAAGAUGAAAUUACAAGCUCGAAAGAGGGACAUCAACUAUCCAAGUAAGCUUGGAGGUACUAGGCACUGCACAUAAAUUGAUCAAUGAUUCGGACAAUCUAUUUUACAUUUCAUGAAUGAAUAGAAUUCUUCUACAGAAAAUAUCCCCACCCAUUUUACUUUUUAAAGCGACAAAUUGUUUGUAUCAACCCAAGAGGUCUUAACAGCAAAACUAGCUGGCACCCACCCACGAAAAAACAAACAUUUGAAAGUGGAAGAAUUUAAUUACAAGUCAAAAGUUCGGGAAAAGUUCCUAAAUUCCAAGUUUAAUUGAACCCCAUAGUACAAAAUACCUGAGCUUCAGCUUCUUGUCUCAUUCGAUCAUAUCGUUGAGCAAGAUGUCGGGCAUCAUCCAGUGGAGCUCCCAAUACCAUUGCUCUCAGUGGCUCAGCAACCUAAACAUCAGAGAAAUCAACACCACAUGAAGAGCAAAAUUAGUAGGUACUAGAACAAGUGUAUUGAGGCUCACUGAAUCCUAUUCUAGAUGUUUGAGUUUGAAUACCCGACUUCACACAAUGAGGUUGCAGAUUUGCAUCAACUCAGCAAAAUUUGGAGUGGUUCUGUUUAUUUAACUAUUAUUAGAAAACUAACAUAAUGCACUGAUCAAAACAACCAUAUCGAAUAUUGGUAACAAAAUUCCACUUUAAUUGCCACCCUGUUCUAAAACAAGUCUCCAAGUAGAACCCUUCUUUGUGGGCACACAAUCAGUGUCAGUAUGAGCAAUGGCGUAGGCUUGAAUUCUCAAUAAGAUACAAUUUAUAUUGAGAUAUAAUUAAAAUGAAUUAAGUAUCCAAAUGUCGUAAAAAGAUAAUAACACCAAAUAUGCAAACAUCUAAAGCCUAGGGCUACUGACUAAUGGCCAGUGAGGCAUAUCUUGCCCAUGCAUGCAAUUUAAGAUUAAUAACUACUAUGUUGUUUGGACAAACCUGCGUGCCUAAAGCUUUCAACAAAUUCCCACGCUCCUUUUCCAUUUGAGCACGAGCUCGUCCAUAACUUAGCGCAGCUUUUGAUAAUGUAUUACCACUGGUACAUGUAUUAUCAGAACCAUAUUUCCUGCUGUCCUCUGACAGCUUUGUUCCUGUUGAAAAUAAAGCAUAUAAAUGGAAGAACAAUGUGAGACAAUAUAACUCACGGUAAAACAUCAACAAGUGAUGCAACAGUGUCACCAGUCACCUAUUUCAACUUGUUUGGACCCAGUAACAAUAUAUCCUUCCACACCACGAACGAUAUCCCUUUGGAAAUGCUGAAAAAGUAUGGGCAAACAUUUAGAAGUCAAGGAAGGGAAGAAGAAAGAAAGGGAAGAGAGAUAAACUACAGGACGACUAGACAACCUUUCCAGCACGCGUUGAGAUGUAAAGCCUCUCAAGUCUCUGAUGCUGAUGGAGCUCUGCCUCAUCAGUUACAACAUUGUCUGACCCACCAUAUCCCCCACCCCCAAAUUGCUUGAAGACAGCCUAAAAUAAACAGCCCAUGAGAUAAAGACUCUUACAUUUUGCAAUUAAAUGUGUGCUUGUCAGUGUGUUUAGGCAAACUAAGUCUAAGUAAUUUUAUUUGGUAGUUGAUAGCAGAGAAAAUCAAUAGCAAUCAUAAUAAUACAGCGUAGCUUCAGACAAAUUUAUAUUUUAGGGUGCAAAAUAUGGUUGCAAGCACCACUAGCAAGCCUAAUAAAAGCAUUAAAAUGAAUGAUUAUGAUGUAAAUUAAGUACACUUACAUCUAUAUUUUGUUAAUCAAAGUCAUAUUAUGCACCACAGAAACUUCAAAACAAAAACUUACUAUUAAGCCUUGAAGUGAUCCCUGUUGAUAUAAAAAGUAUUACCUCCAAUUUUCAAAAUGCAUUCACCUUAAAUGAAAGUUUUCUUCUUUCCAGUGAUACACAACAAAGUCAUUAAAUAAUUAAACAUCCCCUUGCUUAUCACAUUAAGAUAACCGACCAUUCUGAUUGCAUCAACUCAAGUCGGACUCACAAAUCCUACAAUCAUUACAGCAGCAGAAGAGAUAGAGAAAACACCUUCUGAGCCAAUAUUAUAUGUUCCCUUACAAGUACACUAAACAUAAAAUACCAACCAAAAUUCAGAACUCUUUUCAAAAUUCACCAAAUCAAACUCUGACAAACCAAUUAGACUCUAAUUUCUAACUCCAAACUCCAUUCUUAUACCUCUUGCCCAUCAUUUUCCCUCUAAUCCUCGCACACGUUUCUUUAAAAACUCUUCUACAAAGCAGCAAUCAACACUUCUACUAAUUUUAUUUCAUACUCACACAACUGACAAUAAACAGUCUAAUAAGUUCGGUCAUUCAUACGACUACAAUCCCCCUUAAAAUGACACAAUGUGAAGAUUCAAUACAGCCACAACCACACAUAACUCUGAAAAGAAAUAACUUUGGCUAUGCUUAUUUACACCUGUGCAAAUUAUCCUAAUCAUAAAACAUAAAUCACCCUAGCUUCUUUAAUCUAAAAGCAUUUUACCAGAUCCAAAACUUAAUUCCUUUAACAGCAGUAACGAGACCUAAUCGAUAAUCAACAUAAUAAAAAAAAAAUUCGAUAAAAAUAUUAAUAUCCAAUAAACAAGAUCAGAAAAGUAGAGCUAAGAAAUGAAACUGGGGCUGGAUCUAAGAAAAACUUUUGCUACGAAACCUAGAGUUCCAUCGUAUUUAUAAUUUAAAUAAUUAAAACAAUUUAUACAUAAAAAAAAAAAUCUGUGCGUGUACCUGCUGUUGGCGGGCGACUUGUUCUCUGAGUUUUGUGGCUUGUUUUCUGAUAGCUUCCAUUCAAAAUUGAGGAUUUUGUUUUUUUUUUUUUUUGUUUUCGAUUUUCGAAUUUGAAUUUAUAAGUUACAAAAAAAUGAGAAUGAGAAUGGGAGUGAGAGAAGAGAGAGAAGCUCUGGUUGAUUUGAAUUGAAAAACGAAUGCGUUUUGGGGCUGGCACAAUGCUUGCGUUGGGGGAGUCGUUCUGUUUUUUAUUUUAUGUUAUUUUCCGCUUUUGUUUCAGUCGUCUUGACAAUUUUUUAUUUUUUGAAUAUUUCAAAAAAAAAAAAAAAAAAGAAGACGGAGACGUUAUGAUGUAGGCGUUCUUAUUGUAUCAUUCGUAAGCUCGUCUCCGUGUGUGUAAUAAGAGUAAAACUGUUGACUAUGGACGUAAUGCGGGUUUUGACUUUUGAUCUAGAACGUCUGGAGCUGCAUAUAUUAUUAUUACUUCAUUAAUUUUGAUCUUUCACCACUACUAAAAAUGCAUUUAUUCAAUUGUCUAAAACUUUUUUGUCAAAAUUUCUAUAAAAUGAUGCCUCUUGAAUCUUGGAAUCCACAUAAUGCAAAACAUGACAACCCAACAACUCCAUUUUGAGUAAGAAACAUUACUAGAUUAAUGGGAAAUUAAUAGAAAAACAAUAUUUUCAUAAACUUAGCCAAAAAACAAGACCUAAAGUCAUUUAAUUGUUUCCUAUAAGCUGAAUUAGCUAAAAGGAUGCAAAUUAAAGCUUCCAUAUUACGUUUGCUUUCAUUGAUCUUGAUGUAAAGUUGUUAAAACAAAUAUAUUAUGAAAUCUUGCUUUUUGGGGUCUUUCUUCUUUUCUACAAAUGCAAUAGUAGUUAAAUGUAUAUAUGGCCACAAAAUCAUAAUGUAGAUAUGUAAAGUAAUGUAAAUCACUACUACAUACUUUCAUAUAUAUUAUUGCACUCAUUACAUUUGUUGUCCAUUUGAGAAAUCUACAUGAUUCUCUCCAAUAAAAAGUAUUUGAAAAAAAAAUGUAUUUGUUAUGAAGAAGGUUUAAUUUAAAGGGGGGGGGGGUCCCAUACAGUCGUACUAUAUUUUUUAUACCUAAUAUUGAAAUUUAUCUCAUAAAUAUCUAUGUAUAAAGAGAUAGAGGAUACAGUUUUGUUAACUUGUAAGUUGUAACUAAAAGAUCUAGAAAUGAAAUAAAAAUUCAUUGUAUUUAUUAAAAUGACUUUUAAAUAAUCAUUUUGAUGUAUAUAAGUUUUUAAUCAAAUAAAUAAAAUUUCAAAUAAUGUGUUUACCAAACAUUUUAAAAUCACAACUUCUCUGCCACAUUACUAAACAAAUCCGUAAUAUCAUAAAUAAUUUAAACUAACAGGGCUUUAAAACGACUUUCUGGAUUUUGCAUGAUUUCUUCUUGUGUAGGUGCCGUAUGAUCAUGCUGAUUCAUAUAAGAAAUAUCUGCCACACUUUUUAUUAUUGGAAUUUUUUUUCUUGAUACAAUUUGUGAAUUUGUAUAGCAUGUGGUAUUAAACAUUUGAAAAAUGUGCCGACAAUGUUGUUAUCAAUAACCCAAAAAAAAAAUUGUAUAAAAUAUAGAUGUUGUAGUAUACUAGGAUCCUUUUCUUUAUAAUUGCAUUAUCAUGUGAUUAUCAAAAAACCUCUAGAGAUUUUGAAAUUUUGUAAUUACACUAUCCCUAGAUUAUCAAAAGACUCUUAAUAAUGUUUCUCUCCUUAAAGACGCCUUUAACCAUAAAUGGUUCAAAAAAUUCAUGAAAUGAAUUUAUUGCUUUAGAGUUUAGAUAAGUCUCAAGUAUGCAUGCCUCUUAUAACUCCAUAUUGCGUAAUUCCUUUUUUAAAACAAAUGGAUGCAUUUGUUUUCUUUUACUUUUCUUUCAAAUUUUCGAAUGGCCUAAAACUCAAUUCUAUAGAUCAUUAAUUAAGUGUUAUUAUUCUUCGGACCUUAAAUUUUCCUUCCCAUCAUAAACCAGAGCAUGAGAUAUGCCAUCCGCAUUUCUAUAGCAAAUUUAGUAUCUAGGAUCUUGAAGCACAUUUUUCUUUCAUAAUUUUUUAGGAGUUGAAAGUAGGUCUUUGACUAAUUUCAAGAAAGAAAACUUUCACCUAAAACUUUUCUUCUAAAGUAAGCUUCCAAAUAACAUCUCAAAUGGUUUGGUGAAAUUUUUUCAUUUUUUCUAGUGAUCCAAAAGUACCUUAUUUUUAGUUUUCUCUUAACAGUCCUAUCACUUUAGGUUCUCUCUUAAGUAGAUACCUCAUAUAUAUUAAUUUAUUAUUAAUAUAAAUAAAACUAAAUAUUUAUAACUUAAAAGAUAGUUAUUGAAUGGAGAUCGUUUCACAAAAAAACUAUUUAAAAGUAAUAUGAUAUUAAAUAAUUUUUAAUAGUGAUAUGAGAAACACACUAGAUUUUCUUUUGGCAGUAUUGCUUAAGGAUGGCAAAUUUUUCCGGACUUGAAAAAAUCCGGACUAUCCAGUCCGCGUUCAACCCAUACCAGAUGCAUUAAUAAUGCAGAUCCAGUUUGCUUUUUUCAAACCCGGAGGUAUCCAGGUCCGAUUCUGGUUUAGGUGAACCUGGAUUUCCGGGACCCGGACUCAGACUACACAGUUUUUAUAACACAUUUAUUAAUUAAUUUUUGUUGCAAAGGCUUAAAAGCAAACAAAACAAACCUAGAAACCCUAAAGCAAAACAAAAUAAACACACCAGCUGCCACCAUAGGGAAAAAAAACAAAACAAAAAAACUUGAGCAAAACAAGCCUAAGCCGCCACCUCAAUCUUCAUCUUCCUUAUCCCCAACGCUCAACAUCAAUUCAAUGGUUCAUCAAUACAUCAUCAAUUUAAAUCAUCGUCAGUUCAUCAUCUAUUACCAUCAAGAACAACGAACAGCAACCAAGCUCCACCACCGUCAAAUUCGAUCUCGCCUCUCGCCAAAGAGCAAGCUUUGUCGCUAGCCGCUAGCCCCUUCUCGCCGGCGAUUACAUUUUUCACCAGACUUAACCACCCAUUGCCGCCUUAGCUACGACCUGAUCAAUCAAAAGAUAAUUUUCAUUCCUUUCUCUGUAUUUCUUUUUACAUUUUUUGCUUCUGCUUAUUUUUGGUAAUUAUUAAUUUUUUUGUUGUUGCGAAUAGCCAAAUGUAGUAUUUUAACACAUAAUGUCGAUAUAAUUAUAAAUUUAUUAUUGAAACAAGCAAAUUUAGUUGAAAUCCCAUGAAUUUGACCUACUAUUUUAUGCUUCUGCAAUUCCAAAGAGGCGAAAGUGGCAAGCAUUAAGUCUGCCUUCAUCUAACUACCGGGUUUAGAACCCGCAAUCCGGAAAUCCGAAUUUUUCCAGGUUGAACCCGGUCCGAACCGGCAGUUAAAUAAUUCGGGUUUAUAUCCAGAUCCGGAAAGAUAAAUUGUCAUCCUGGUCCAGAACUGGAAAGACCAAACCCAGACUCGAACUCCAAAAGAAAAUCAAGUGGAG